rnacentral:tRNA from 1 species
AUUGGAUUAGCUCAGAUGGUAGAGCAACGGGCCGAUAACCCGUGUGUCACUGGUUCAAGUCCAGUAUCCAAUA